rnacentral:rRNA from 1 species
GGCCUUAGUGGCGCACGGGUGCGUACCGCGUGGGAAUCUGCCCCUUGGUUCGGAAUAACAGUUGGAAACGACUGCUAAUACCGGAUGAUGACGUAAGUCCAAAGAUUUAUCGCCGAGGGAUGAGCCCGCGUACGAUUACGUANUUGGUGUGGUAAAGGCGCACCANGCCGACGAUCCUUAGCUGGUCUGAGAGGAUGAUCACCCACACUGGGACUGAGACACGGCCCACACUCCUACGGGAGGCAGCAGUGGGGAAUAUUGGACAAUGGGCGAAAGCCUGAUCCAGCAAUGCCGCGUGAGUGAUGAAGGCCUUAGGGUUGUAAAGCUCUUUUACCCGGGAUGAUAAUGACAGUACCGGGAGAAUAAGCUCCGGCUAACUCCGUGCCAGCAGCCGCGGUAAU